UACGUAGGGUGCGAGCGUUGUCCGGAAUUAUUGGGCGUAAAGAGCUUGUAGGCGGUUUGUCGCGUCUGCUGUGAAAAUCCGGGGCUCAACCCCGCGCUUGCAUUCGAUACGGGCAGGCUCGAGUUCGGUAGGGGAGACUGGAAUUCCUGGUGUAGCGGUGAAAUGCGCAGAUAUCAGGAGGAACACCGGUGGCGAAGGCGGGUCUCUGGGCCGAUACUGACGCUGAGGAGCGAAAGCGUGGGGAGCGAACAGG
rnacentral:rRNA from 1 species